rnacentral:lncRNA from 10 species
CUGGGGUUGUGGGAAGGUGAAGAUGGCAGUGGGGCAGCUACAAGUCAAUGGCAGUGGCUGGGAGGCAGGUAAGAAGCUGAGGCUCCCAUUCUCUCCCCAUUGUUCCCUGAGAGUUCUGCUCCACGCCCUCCCUGCUCUCAUCUGCACCCAGCACAACUGCUUUCACCAGCCCCAGAUCACAUGCAGAGUCAAGCCAUAUCAAUCCAUUCUUGAGAGUGGAGAAAGCCAAUUCACCUUCCAGCAGUCCAGAGAGAAGAGGUGUUUUUUAUAACAAAUUACAGAAGCACCAUGUGAGGACAUCAGAGGUGAGUUCCUCCAGAGAUGCUGAAUGAGAGUGUGACGAACUCAAAGCCAGACUGUCUUCAUCUGCUCUGGCUGCCAUAUCAAAAUACCAUGGACGGGGUGCCUCAAAUAACAGAUAUUUAUUUCUCAUAGUCCUGGAGGCUGGAAGCUGAAGAUCAGAGUGCCAGCAGGAUGAGGAAACUGGAGCUGAAGAGUAACUUGCCCAGGGUCCUGUUUCCAGUAAUGGCAGAGGAACUUCUACAAGAUCACAAAUAACAACUGUGAACUCUGGGCAAAGAUUUAAGAGAAAAAACUGCCUAAAUGCACUGGAAAGCAACUGAAAUCAGGCAAACACGAGAGGAGAUCUGCUUAAGAGCAGGUUGGGGAUGACAGAAGGAAGAGUCAAUGAACUUGAAAAUAUGUCAAUAGAAAGUAUCCGAUAUGAAGAACAAAAAGGAUUGAAUAAAAAGAAAAGAGGAAGAGCCUCAGGGACUUGUGAAAAAAUAUCAAAAGGUCUAACAUAUGUAUAAUUGGAGUCUGAGAAGGAAAAGAGAGAAUGGGACAGAAAAAAGUUUAAAAAAAUAGUGGCUGAAAUGUCCCCAUGCUUGGUGAAAGACAUACAUUUACAUACCCAAGAAUUUUAGUGUACCCCAGAUAAGCUCAAAGCUGGAUAAGUACAAAGUACACACCUAGGCACAAAAUCAAACUACUAAAUACCAUACAAAAGGAGACAAGUUUUAAAAUAGCCACAGAAAAAACAACAUAUUUUAUACAAGAGAAGAAUGAUAUAAAUAUUGCUGACUUCUCAUGAGAAAGGAAGUCAGAAGGCAGUGGAACAUCUUCAAUGCAUUAAAAGAAAGAAAAAAACCUAUCAACUCAGAAUCAUAUAUCCAGUAAAAAUAUAUUUCCAUAAUGAAACAUUCAUGGCUGGGCGUGGUGGCUCACACCUGUAAUCCCAGCACUUUGGGAGGCCGACGUCGGUGGAUCAUGAGGUCAGGAGAUCGAGACCAUCUUGGCUAACACGGUGAAAUCCCGUCUCUACUAAAAAUACAAAAAAAUUAGCCAGGUGUGGUGGCACGUGCCUGUAGUCCCAGUUACUCAGGAGGCUGAGGCAGAAGAAUGGUGUGAACCCAGGAGGUGGAGCUUGCAGUGAGCUGAGAUCAUGCCACUGCACUCCAGCCAGGGCUACAGAGCAAGACUCUGUCUCAAAUAAAAAAAAAAAGAAAGAAAGAAACAUUGAUUCAGAUAAAUGAAUACUAGCAGUUUUCAUCAUCAUUAGACCUGCAUGAAAGAAAUGCUAAAGGAAGUUCUUCAGAUAGAAGGGAAAUGAUACCAAAAGAAACUUAGAUUACAGCAAGGAACAAAAAGCAUCAGAAAUGGCAAAUGUGGGAAAAUAUAAAAGAUGGUUUCCCUUUAAUUUCUUUAAAAUGCAUGUGGUUGUUUGAAGCAAAAAUUAUAACAGUAUAUUGCUGGGUUUAUAGUGCAUGUAGAUGUGAUAUACAUGACAAUUAUAUAUCACAUAAAAGAUGAGGGGGCUUUGGUUAAAGAGUCUAUAAACUUGCAAGGUUUCAUAUUCAACAAGAAGUACAAGUAACUUGCCAAUGUCCUUUUUUUAAUUUUUAAUUUUUAUUAUACUUUAAGUUCUAGGGUACAUGUGCACAACGUGCAGGUUUGUUACAUAUGUAUACAUGUGCCAUGUUGGUGUGCUGCACCCAUUAACUCGUCAUUUACAUUAGGUAUAUCUCCUAAUGCUAUCCCUUCCCCCUUCUCCCACCUCAUGAGAGGCCCCAAUGUGUGAUGUUCCCCACCCUGUGUCCAAGUGUUCUCAUUGUUUAAUUCCCACUCAUGAGUGAGAACAUGCAGUGUUUGGUUUUCUGUCCUUGUGAUAGUUUGCUCAGAAUGAUGGUUUCCAGCUUCAUCCAUGUUCCUACAAAGGACAUGAACGCAUCCUUUUUUAUGGCUGCAUAGUAUUCCAUGGUGUAUAUGUGCCACACUUUCUUAAUCCAGUCUAUCAUUGAUGGACAUUCAGAUUGUUUCCAAGUCUUUGCUAUUGUGAGUAGUGCCACAAUAAACAUACGUGUGCA